GCAACUGAUGCAUCUUCUAACCAGGCUGGGAACACAACACGCGCACACGCGCACACACACACGCACGCACCCACCCCACCCGGCUGCCGGACGCAAGCGUAAGUCAAGGACUUGCAUGCUAGAAUCAGACAGAAAAUCCAGAAAAGCCACGUUAUUUAACAGAACCCUACAAGGUCAGCUUUGAGUCAAAGCAGGACGGAGCCCUGACAGCAAUGUUUGCUACGGCCUCCCUCUGCAGUCAGCCUAAAGCAAGGAGCUGGAGGUAGAUGAGGCAAAGGUAAAGGAGACCAAAACAGUAUUUUAAAGAAAAAAUCAUUUAUCUUCAAAUAGGCUCCAAACCUAAGAUGGUGUAUACUGUUAGAGGACAAGAACCUGCUUCUAGCCAUCUUUGCGUCUCCAGGACCUGACUUGUGACCAUUCAAUAAGAGUUUGAUAGAUGGACAGACUAAUGAAUAGAUGAAGAUGAUUAGAAGCCAAAAUUUCUGAAUCUUCCUAGCACCCAGAACAUGGCUUAACAUCAAGGAAAUGCUCACUAAAUACUGUCAUAAUGGAAUGAAUGGAACCGAUGCCUAAUUGAAAAUCAUUAGGCUGUAAACCAUUUCCAUGUUCCAAUUUCUU
rnacentral:lncRNA from 1 species